AGUGGGAUAGCUGGGUCAUAUGGUGGUUCCAUUCCUAGUCUUUUGAGGAAUUACCAUACUGCUUUCCAAAGUGGUUGUACUAAUUUACAGUCCCACCAACAAU
rnacentral:pre_miRNA from 1 species